AGUGAACGCUGGCGGUAGGCCUAACACAUGCAAGUCGAACGGCAGCACGGUAAGAGCUUGCUCUUACGGGUGGCGAGUGGCGGACGGGUGAGGGAUACAUCGGAAUCUACUUUUUCGUGGGGGAUAACGUAGGGAAACUUACGCUAAUACCGCAUACGACCUACGGGUGAAAGCAGGGGAUCUUCGGACCUUGCGCGAUUGAAUGAGCCGAUGUCGGAUUAGCUAGUUGGCGGGGUAAAGGCCCACCAAGGCGACGAUCCGUAGCUGGUCUGAGAGGAUGAUCAGCCACACUGGAACUGAGACACGGUCCAGACUCCUACGGGAGGCAGCAGUGGGGAAUAUUGGACAAUGGGCGCAAGCCUGAUCCAGCCAUACCGCGUGGGUGAAGAAGGCCUUCGGGUUGUAAAGCCCUUUUGUUGGGAAAGAAAAGCAGCAGGUUAAUACCCCGCUGUUCUGACGGUACCCAAAGAAUAAGCACCGGCUAACUUCGUG
rnacentral:rRNA from 1 species